rnacentral:rRNA from 1 species
CCUUAGAGUUUGAUAUGGCUCAGGAUGAACGCUAGCGGCAGGCUUAACACAUGCAAGUCGAGGGGUAACGGGGAAGCUUGCUUCCGCCGACGACCGGCGCACGGGUGCGUAACGCGUAUACAAUCUACCUUGUACUGGGGUAUAGCCUUUAGAAAUGAAGAUUAAUCCCCCAUAGUCUCUUAGAGUGGCACCACUUCUAGAGUAAAGGUUACGGUAUAAGAUGAGUAUGCGUUCUAUUAGUUUGUUGGUGUGGUAACGGCACACCAAGACUACGAUAGAUAGGGGCCCUGAGAGGGGGAUCCCCCACACUGGUACUGAGACACGGACCAGACUCCUACGGGAGGCAGCAGUGAGGAAUAUUGGACAAUGGAGGCAACUCUGAUCCAGCCAUGCCGCGUGCAGGAAGACUGCCCUAUGGGUUGUAAACUGCUUUUAUACAGGAAGAAACACCUCUACGUGUAGAGGCUUGACGGUACUGUAAGAAUAAGGAUCGGCUAACUCCGUGCCAGCAGCCGCGGUAAUACGGAGGAUCCAAGCGUUAUCCGGAAUCAUUGGGUUUAAAGGGUCCGUAGGUGGAUAAUUAAGUCAGAGGUGAAAUCUUGCAGCUCAACUGUAAAAUUGCCUUUGAAACUGGUUAUCUUGAGUUAUUAUGAAGUAGUUAGAAUAUGUAGUGUAGCGGUGAAAUGCAUAGAUAUUACAUAGAAUACCAAUUGCGAAGGCAGAUUACUAAUAAUCAACUGACACUGAUGGACGAAAGCGUGGGUAGCGAACAGGAUUAGAUACCCUGGUAGUCCACGCCGUAAACGAUGGUUACUAGCUGUUUGGACUUCGGUCUGAGUGGCUAAGCGAAAGUGAUAAGUAACCCACCUGGGGAGUACGUUCGCAAGAAUGAAACUCAAAGGAAUUGACGGGGGCCCGCACAAGCGGUGGAGCAUGUGGUUUAAUUCGAUGAUACGCGAGGAACCUUACCAGGGCUUAAAUGUAAGUUGCAUUAGUUAGAGAUAGCUAUUUCUUCGGACCACUUACAAGGUGCUGCAUGGUUGUCGUCAGCUCGUGCCGUGAGGUGUCAGGUUAAGUCCUAUAACGAGCGCAACCCCUGUUGUUAGUUGCCAGCGAGUCAUGUCGGGAACUCUAACAAGACUGCCAGUGCAAACUGUGAGGAAGGUGGGGAUGACGUCAAAUCAUCACGGCCCUUACGUCCUGGGCUACACACGUGCUACAAUGGUAGGUACAGAGAGCAGCCACUGCGCGAGCAGGAGCGAAUCUAUAAAACCUAUCACAGUUCGGAUCGGAGUCUGCAACUCGACUCCGUGAAGCUGGAAUCGCUAGUAAUCGGAUAUCAGCCAUGAUCCGGUGAAUACGUUCCCGGGCCUUGUACACACCGCCCGUCAAGCCAUGGAAGUUGGAAGUGCCUGAAGUCCGUCACCGCAAGGAGCGGCCUAGGGUAAAGUCGAUAACUAGGGCUAAGUCGUAACAAGGUAAAGGGC